AUUGUUUAAAAGCAACACGAUUUAAAUUUUUGUAACUGAUUUAAAUAUCUAGUUAAUUUUAUGUGUACCAACAAAUUGCAAUAUAUUAAAAUAUUUAUUACACUGACAAAGGGUGACAUUUAAGUAAUAAUAGUAGUUCUUAUGAACAUUUUAAUAAAAGAAGAAUAUAAUUUUAGGUUAUGUUUUGAUUAUGCCAUGUGUUGAUUUUUAAAUGAAACCAGGGGAAGAGGAAAUUGGAGGAAGACUGGAAUCAAGAUACAAAAAGAAACUGUGUAAAAGAUAAAUGUCAAGAAUAAAAGCAAAAUAGCCGAAAUAGACAAUGCUUUAAAGAGCCUGGAG
rnacentral:misc_RNA from 1 species